UAGGGAAUCUUCCGCAAUGGGCGAAAGCCUGACGGAGCAACGCCGCGUGAGUGAUGAAGGUCUUCGGAUCGUAAAACUCUGUUAUUAGGGAAGAACAAAUGUGUAAGUAACUAUGCACGUCUUGACGGUACCUAAUCAGAAAGCCACGGCUAACUACGUGCCAGCAGCCGCGGUAAUACGUAGGUGGCAAGCGUUAUCCGGAAUUAUUGGGCGUAAAGCGCGCGUAGGCGGUUUUUUAAGUCUGAUGUGAAAGCCCACGGCUCAACCGUGGAGGGUCAUUGGAAACUGGAAAACUUGAGUGCAGAAGAGGAAAGUGGAAUUCCAUGUGUAGCGGUGAAAUGCGCAGAGAUAUGGCGGAACACCAGUGGCGAAGGCGACUUUCUGGUCUGUAACUGACGCUGAUGUGCGAAAGCGUGGGGAUCAAACAGG
rnacentral:rRNA from 1 species